CAUGCAAGUCGAGCGGGCACCUUCGGGUGUCAGCGGCAGACGGGUGAGUAACACGUGGGAACGUGCCCUUUGGUUCGGGACAACUCCGGGAAACUGGAGCUAAUACCGGAUAAGCCCUUCGGGGGAAAGAUUUAUCGCCGAUAGAUCGGCCCGCGUCUGAUUAGCUAGUUGGUGAGGUAAUGGCUCACCAAGGCGACGAUCAGUAGCUGGUCUGAGAGGAUGAUCAGCCACACUGGGACUGAGACACGGCCCAGACUCCUACGGGAGGCAGCAGUGGGGAAUAUUGGACAAUGGGCGAAAGCCUGAUCCAGCCAUGCCGCGUGAGUGAUGAAGGCCUUAGGGUUGUAAAGCUCUUUUGUCCGGGAAGAUAAUGACUGUACCGGAAGAAUAAGCCCCGGCUAACUUCGUGCCAGCAGCCGCGGUAAUACGGAGGGAGCUAGCGUUGUUCGGAAUUACUGGGCGUAAAGCGCACGUAGGCGGCUUUGUAAGUUAGAGGUGAAAGCCCGGGGCUCAACUCCGGAACUGCCUUUAAGACUGCAUCGCUUGAAUCCAGGAGAGGUGAGUGGAAUUCCGAGUGUAGAGGUGAAAUUCGUAGAUAUUCGGAAGAACACCAGUGGCGAAGGCGGCUCACUGGACUGGUAUUGACGCUGA
rnacentral:rRNA from 1 species